rnacentral:lncRNA from 1 species
AAGAAGGAGAGUCCUUCUGUGAGAAGUCUCUCAUGUACCAAAAAUUUUACAUGGUGAAUUUAUUCACUAUGUGAGAAGAUGGACCGCCAAAGGUUGGUGCCCCUUCAUUCCAAGACACAUCCUUGGUCCCCUAUAUAUAUGGGACAUCCCACAUGGCUACCUAUUGUGAUUUUGGAUUGAAACCAGAGAGUUGGGAUGUGAAAAUUAUAAAAAAAAUUUUGAAUAAAAUUUGAGAAAAAAGCAAGGGAAAUUUGAGUGGCAAAUAUUGCAAGAAGGGUGGUG